CUGGGCGUAAAGCGCGCGUAGGUGGUUUUUUAAGUUGGAUGUGAAAGCCCUGGGCUCAACCUAGGAACUGCAUCCAAAACUAGAUGACUAGAGUACGAAAGAGGGAAGUAGAAUUCACAGUGUAGCGGUGGAAUGCGUAGAUAUUGUGAAGAAUACCAAUGGCGAAGGCAGCUUCCUGGUUCUGUACUGACACUGAGGUGCGAAAGCGUGGGUAGCGAACAGGAUUAGAUACCCUGGUAGUCCACGCCGUAAACGAUGACAACUAGCUGUUGGGAGACAAGAUCUCUCAGUGGCGCAGCUAACGCUUUAAGUUGUCCGCCUGGGGAGUACGGCCGCAAGGUUAAAACUCAAAUGAAUUGACGGGGACCCGCACAAGCGGUGGAGCAUGUGGUUUAAUUCGAUGCAACGCGAAAAACCUUACCUACUCUUGACAUACUUGGAAGCUCUUGUAAUGAGAGUGUGCUUUUAGAGCCAAGAUACAGGUGCUGCAUGGCUGUCGUCAGCUCGUGUCGUGAGAUGUUGGGUUAAGUCCCAUAACGAGCGCAACCCUUACCCUUAUUUGCCAGCGGUUCGGCCGGGAACUAUAAGGGGACUGCCGGUGACAAACCGGAGGAAGGUGAGGACGACGUCAAGUCAUCAUGGCCCUUACGAGUAGGGCUACACACGUGCUACAAUGGGGAAUACAGACGGACGCUAAAGCGUGAGCUGGUGCUAAUCCUAAAAAAUUUCUCGUAGUCCGGAUUGCAGUCUGCAACUCGACUGCAUGAAGUCGGAAUCGCU
rnacentral:rRNA from 1 species